rnacentral:rRNA from 1 species
GAUGAACGCUGGCGGCGUGCCUAAUACAUGCAAGUCGAGCGAACAGAUGAGGAGCUUGCUCCUCUGACGUUAGCGGCGGACGGGGGAGUAACACGUGGAUAACCUACCUAUAAGACUGGGAUAACUUCGGGAAACCGGAGCUAAUACCGGAUAAUAUAUUGAACCGCAUGGUUCAAUAGUGAAAGACGGUUUUGCUGUCACUUAUAGAUGGAUCCGCGCCGCAUUAGCUAGUUGGUAGGGUAACGGCUUACCAAGGCAGCGAUGCGUAGCCGACCUGAGAGGGUGAUCGGCCACACUGGAACUGAGACACGGUCCAGACUCCUACGGGAGGCAGCAGUAGGGAAUCUUACGCCAUGGGCGAAAGCCUGACGGAGCAACGCCGCGUGAGUGAUGAAGGUCUUCGGAUCGUAAAGCUCUGUUAUUAGGGAAGAACAAAUGUGUAAGUAACUAUGCACGUCUUGACGGUACCUAAUCAGAAAGCCACGGCUAACUACGUG